UGAUACUAAGCCAUGCGAGUCAUUGUAGCAAUACAAGGCAUACGGCUCAGUAACGCGUAGUCAACCUAACCUAUGGACGGGAAUAACCUCGGGAAACUGAGAAUAAUGCCCGAUAGAACAUUAUGCCUGGAAUGGUUUAUGUUCCAAAUGAUUUAUCGCCGUAGGAUGGGACUGCGGCCUAUCAGUUUGUUGGUGAGGUAAUGGCCCACCAAGACUAUUACAGGUACGGGCUCUGAGAGGAGUAGCCCGGAGAUGGGUACUGAGACACGGACCCAGGCCCUAUGGGGCGCAGCAGGCGAGAAAACUUUGCAAUGUGCGAAAGCACGACAAGGUUAAUCCGAGUGGUUUCUGCUAAAGGAACCUUUUGUCAGUCCUAGAAACACUGAUGAAUAAGGGGUGGGCAAGUUCUGGUGUCAGCCGCCGCGGUAAAACCAGCACCUCAAGUGGUCAGGAUGAUUAUUGGGCCUAAAGCAUCCGUAGCCGGCUCUGUAAGUUUUCGGUUAAAUCUGUACGCUCAACGUACAGGCUGCCGGGAAUACUGCAAAGCUAGGGAGUGGGAGGGGUAGACGGUACUCGGUAGGAAGGGGUAAAAUCCUUUGAUCUAUUGAUGACCACCUGUGGCGAAGGCGGUCUACCAGAACACGUCCGACGGUGAGGGAUGAAAGCUGGGGGAGCAAACCGGAUUAGAUACCCGGGUAGUCACAGCUGUAAACCAUGCAAACUCAAUGAUGCAUUGGCUUGUGGCCAAUGCAGUGCUGCAGGGAAGCCGUUAAGUUUGCCGCCUGGGAAGUACGUACGCAAGUAUGAAACUUAAAGGAAUUGGCGGGGGAGCACCACAAGGGGUGAAGCCUGCGGUUCAAUUGG
rnacentral:rRNA from 1 species